UACGAAGGGUGCAAGCGUUAAUCGGAAUUACUGGGCGUAAAGGGUGCGUAGGCGGUCUGUUAAGUUGGAUGUGAAAUCCCCGGGCUUAACCUGGGUGGUGCAUUCAAAACUGGAUGGCUAGAGUGCAGGAGAGGGAAGCGGAAUUCCUAGUGUAGCGGUGAAAUGCGUAGAUAUUAGGAGGAACACCAGUGGCGAAGGCGGCUUCCUGGACUGUAACUGACACUGAGGCACGAAAGCGUGGGGAGCAAACAGGAUUAGAUACCCUGGUAGUCCCU
rnacentral:rRNA from 1 species